AGGCAACAGCCCAAAGAAGUUCAUCAGUACAUGGAAACGUUCAAGGCCCCUGCAUGGGUUCAAGCCUGAAGGUCUAUGAACAUGGCUAUGACCCACUGCAUGGGGAUGAGGAUCCUCGUCUUCCAUAUACCUAGAAGUGGAGGAGAAACCUGUGUUGGUAGAUGGUUGUAAGAUCUAUCAUUAAAACUAAUUUAUUUCAGUCAUCUCUUUCUUUUUCAAAACAUAAGAAUCUAUAUCCGAAGAAAAUUAAACAGUUUGUCCACAGUUACAAAAUAAACAUUCUAAAUGAUAAUAAAGCUUACACAAUAGU